rnacentral:rRNA from 1 species
UACGGAGGGUGCGAGCGUUGUCCGGAAUCAUUGGGCGUAAAGGGCGCGUAGGUGGCUGGGCAAGCGUGCGGUGAAAGCUCGGGGCUCAACCCCGAGUCGGCCGUGCGAACUGCCGAGCUUGAGCACUGUAGAGGCAGGCAGAAUUCCGGGUGUAGCGGUGGAAUGCGUAGAGAUCCGGAAGAACACCGGUGGCGAAGGCGGCCUGCUGGGCAGUGGCUGACACUGAGGCGCGACAGCGUGGGGAGCAAACAGG